rnacentral:rRNA from 1 species
AUGGCGCGUGGGAAGGUGGCCGAGUGGAUACGGAAGCGUACGAUGCCGAGAAAGCCGGCGGCUAAGCGCCAGAGCACGCCAACGCCUAGGAAUGCAGCCGUGAGUGGGAGCGGGAAUGAUGCAGUUGGUGCUGGUGGUGGCGGCGCUCCACCGGCGCAUUCCAAGUCCCGGGCAAGCGCCUUCCUGUCGGCGCUUAUGAGGUGGCGGCCUCGCGUGAACGUGAUGGCCGUGCUGUGCGAGCAUGUGGUGUACCACAUGAUGUGGCUGGUGGAGUCCGUGGUGUUGGUGGGCAGGCUCUGCUUCUUCCUCAUGCGCUUUGGCUUCAAGCAGCUCUAA